rnacentral:rRNA from 1 species
GGGGUUUUUUGGUUUUUUUUUUAGAUUUUUUUACCUGGCCAGAUUGAACGCUAGCGGGAUGCUUUACACAUGCAAGUCGAACGGCAGCCCGAGAGAGCUUGCUCUCUUGGCGGCGAGUGGCGGACGGGUGAGUAAUAUAUCGGAACGUGCCCAGUAGCGGGGGAUAACUACUCGAAAGAGUGGCUAAUACCGCAUACGCCCUACGGGGGAAAGGGGGGGAUCGCAAGACCUCUCACUAUUGGAGCGGCCGAUAUCGGAUUAGCUAGUUGGUGGGGUAAAGGCUCACCAAGGCAACGAUCCGUAGCUGGUUUGAGAGGACGACCAGCCACACUGGGACUGAGACACGGCCCAGACUCCUACGGGAGGCAGCAGUGGGGAAUUUUGGACAAUGGGGGAAACCCUGAUCCAGCCAUCCCGCGUGUAUGAUGAAGGCCUUCGGGUUGUAAAGUACUUUUGGCAGAGAAGAAAAGGUACCUCCUAAUACGAGGUACUGCUGACGGUAUCUGCAGAAUAAGCACCGGCUAACUACGUGCCAGCAGCCGCGGUAAUACGUAGGGUGCAAGCGUUAAUCGGAAUUACUGGGCGUAAAGCGUGUGUAGGCGGUUCGGAAAGAAAGAUGUGAAAUCCCAGGGCUCAACCUUGGAACUGCAUUUUUAACUGCCGAGCUAGAGUAUGUCAGAGGGGGGUAGAAUUCCACGUGUAGCAGUGAAAUGCGUAGAUAUGUGGAGGAAUACCGAUGGCGAAGGCAGCCCCCUGGGAUAAUACUGACGCUCAGACACGAAAAGACGCCCC